rnacentral:rRNA from 1 species
GACGAACGCUGGCGGCGUGCCUAAUACAUGCAAGUUGAGCGCUGAAGGUUGGUACUUGUACCGACUGGAUGAGCAGCGAACGGGUGAGUAACGCGUGGGGAAUCUGCCUUUGAGCGGGGGACAACAUUUGGAAACGAAUGCUAAUACCACAUAAAAACUUUAAACACAAGUUUUAAGUUUGAAAGAUGCAAUUGCAUCACUCAAAGAUGAUCCCGCGUUGUAUUAGCUAGUUGGUGAGGUAAAGGCUCACCAAGGCGAUGAUACAUAGCCGACCUGAGAGGGUGAUCGGCCACAUUGGGACUGAGACACGGCCCAAACGCCUACGGGAGGCAGCAGUAGGGAAUCUUCGGCAAGAGACGAAAGUCUGACCGAGCAACGCCGCGUGAGUGAAGAAGGUUUUCGGAUCGUAAAACUCGGUUGGUAGAGAAGAACGUUGGUGAGAGUGGAAAGCUCAUCAAGUGACGGUAACUACCCAGAAAGGGACGGCUAACUACGUG